GCAUGUGUGUGUGUGUUCCUAUGGGCGUGGAUGUGCACCUGUGUGUGUGCAUGCAUGUGUGUGUGUGUUCCUAUGGGUGUGGGUGUGCACCUGUGUGUGUUCUUAUGGGUGUGCACUUGUGUGUGGCAGCCAGAGGUUGAUGUUAGGCAUCUUCCUCAGUCACUCAUCACGUUAUUUUUUGAGACAGGAUCUCUCACUGAACUUGGAGGUUACUGAUUGAUUCUGCUAGAUUGAUUGGUCAGUGAGCCCCUCCCACUACUUCUGCUUCCCCAACACUGGGGUUACAGGUUGUGGUAGUUUGAAUGUAGUCAGCCCCCAUGAUCUCAUAGGGAGUGGCACCGUUAGGAGGUGUGGCUUUGCUGGAGUGGGUGUGGCCUUGUUGGAGGAAGUGUGUGACUGUGGGGGCGGGCUUUGAGGUUGCCUCUGCUCAGGCAACUUCCUAUUGCCUGAAAGAUGUAGGACUCAGCUCCUCCAGCACCACAUCUGACUGCACGCCACCAUGCUCCCUAUCAUGAUGAUAAUGGACUGAACCUCUGAAAUGGAGAAUCUCUGACACAAAAUGUAUACACAUCUAUCUCAAAGAUAAAAUUGACAUUAAAGAAGUAACUCAGGCGGUGUGGAAAAAAACAGGAAAAGCUGCAGGAACAUCAAGCUCUGCCCGCUCCAGGCUGAAGGACAAAGAAGCAGGCGUGUGUGGGAUCUGCUUUGAUCACUGGCUGGGAUGGGCUUUGAAAAGGUAUUCAACUGUUCUCAGCCGCACAAUCUUCUUUGGAUCUGAACACGCUGUUCACGGGUUCAGGAUGCAGUGCCAGUUGGUAGGGUGCGACAAAUGAGGAAGAUUCCAGACCUCAGCAGUCAAGGAAGGUCGUCAUGGCCUGGGCUGACAAUGGCUUUCUUCAAACGAAAACACCAGUGUGAAUGGUGGUGGCCCGCGGCACAGACAGUGACAUCAGAAGUCUCAGCAGCUCAGAUCAUCUGUCCUUCUGGGGCCAGCCAAUUCCUUUCCGGGGUAGCUGGACCCAGGAACACCCCAAAUCCCACCCUCAAUCUCCACAGUGGCCUCCAGGCAGAAGAAUUUCAACAGUUCGACCGCUCCACACGGGCUCAGGGUGUGGAAGCAGCUUUGGGCCUUUCUCAUGGGCUUAGGACAGUCUUAGCUGAUGCCUCCUAAACCCUAGCUUUCCUCCCCUCCAGCUAAUCCCCGGACUGCCACCCCUCCCACGGAUCCAGCCCACCUCAAGCUCCCCAGACUGAAAGGCGCAUUCAUGCCCCAGCCAGCUGUUUGUUUAAACUCACCCUGUGUUAGUCCAUGUUAAACGCAACAGAACGAGAAGAAAUGGAAUUUUCUGCCGGCUUUUGAUCAAAGAGAGGACUUAAAAAAAUUCAAGACGGGUUCCUGCAGGACACUGUUAUACACAGGCUGUGCAUUUCUGUGCGCCAGUGUUUAGUUGAUUGGGGGAACAUGUUCUUUAUCCUUUUGAUCCCAGGAAGAAAACACACACACACACACACACACACACACACACACACACACACACACACACACGCAUGCACACACACGCAUGCACACACACGCACACACGCAUAUAUAUAUGCAUACAGAGACACACGUACACAUACAACAUAUGCAUGUGCGCACACUCAUGAACAUGCAUAUCCACAUACACAGACACACAUAUAUGCAUACAUACAUCUAUAACAAACACAUACAUGCACACAUCCCCCUACUGUACACACACUUACAUAUGUUGUGUAUAAAUGCACACACACACACACACACACACACACACACACACACACUACAAUCACAUACAUGCAUGCACACAGACACAGACAUUCAUGCACAUCUCGACACCACAAACACAAAACAAUGGUCAUUCUUUCCCAAGAAAUUCCAGCAAUGGAGGACUGCCCUUUAAUUAGUUUAUCAACAACAGAGAAUUUAAAACAUGGCCCUCCGCAGGAUGCAAACUCUUUUUAUUUUUUCCCCCAAUUCAUGGGAAUUCAGGGUGAAGUCUCACUGGCUGUAAGGCCACAGGAUGCCGACCACAUGCUUGGAACACCCAAUCUCCCUCCAUCUAUGUCUUCAUGGUCAGAGUAGUCAUUAAAUGUUUAUCCCUCCCACUCCAGCUUCGAAGCAAAUGCCACUGAAAUGUCCUUAACAUGUCCCCAUUUCCUGUCAUCAGGGAGUUUGCUAGGGGCACUGGCUGUGAAUUUAAGGCAUGGGCUGCAGAUCUGCAGGAGAAACUGGCUGUCUAUACAGAGAACUUGGGGGUUGCGAUCAGCCUGCAUCCAUGGCAGUCAGUCAAACCAGCCUUCGUAUAACACGGAUACAGAGGCUAAUAUUCCAAACUCGAACUUAGAUUAACCUGGGGCCAGCACAGGCCACUGGAAAAAGUUAAAACAUGCUCUGUUCCCCUCCACACUCCUCACUCACUUUUCCAUUAUGGAAAAAGUCUGAAUUUGGUUUUUAAAAAAUUUUUGUUGUGUUUCUACAGUCGAUUGUUUGGUUAGUGACUUUGCCAGCUUCCUGGAUACUCAUUUCUGGUUCUGCACAAAACAGCCUCGUUUCCUUUUGGAAUCAAGAUCAGGCGGGGAAGUGGACUCAGAACCGUGAGUGUCCCCAACCCUUUCAUCCCUGAUUCAGCUUGGGGUGACUCUCCGCAGCCUCCCGGCUCUGGAGGGCCAGCGCAGUCAGCCUUAGCUCUGCUCUCUGCUUUUAGGAAGGAGAUUCUAGAAUUUCUACACAAACAUCACAUAGGAAGGCAGGGAGGGACUUCUAUUUUCAUUUUAAGGCUCUAAAAGAUGGAGAAAGUAAACAGGGCGGGCUGCUUUAUCUCAGGGGUUCACGGUGAGUCCCUAUUGAAUUUACCAAAUAAAAUGAAUUUCAAAAUUUUCAUUUUCUCAUUUUAUUCCAGCAGAAAAUGAGUUUGCCUUUAUAAUAUCCAGAGCUUUCAAACUCUAUUGAGUGAGAAAUUAAGUUACAGAAAGUAAAUACUCUGGUCUCUGCACACACCCGAAACGAGACAGUCUGUGACUGUAAUAUGAUAGCAAGCCCAGCUUUGGGUUCCGAGAUCACUUAUUAUUUUUUUUUUAUGAUGUAUAAUAAAGAGAAACAAGACCCGGCAAAAAUGUUCCUCUUUUAGAAUUGGUGAACUGUGAUACAAAAUAAAUUUGAUUGCAAUUUUAAUUUGUAAACCUAAGUUGCCAAUUUUUAAAAAAAUCUUCCAAAUGUCCCAAAACACUGAAGGAAUUGUAAAGAAAACAAAAAUGAAUGUUACAGGCCACAGGAAAUUCUAUCUUUAUAUAUAGAAACACACAUGUAAAUCAGCCUCUCUGGUGACAAGAAUACCUUGACUUUAAUUACAAAGAGAAAGCAAUAUCUGAACCACAAGACAAAGCCAGCCACACUAGGAGCGGACUGUGAGGAAGGCAGGGCGGUUAUUUGCAUAGGAAAAUCCAGAAACCGACAUUAGGCAGAUGUGGAAUUGGAGUGUGAUUAUAUUUAUAACAAAAGCUACAUAAAUGUAAAAAAAGAAAGUUAUUUUGCUUAAGUGCCUGAAAAAAAAUUGAAAUAAUAUUUGGGUUACUCCCGUCCUGUGCUUUGUGUUCUGGAAGCCCAUGGGGUCCAGGAAGGAUUAAAGAACUCGACCAGGGGCUGGAGCAACGGCUCAGCCUUUAAGAGCUCUUGCUGCUCUUUCAGAGGAUCCGUGUUUGAGUCCCAGCAUCCAUAUCAGGUGGCUCGAAACUUUCUGUAACUCCAGCUCCACAUGAUUCAAUGCCUCUAUCUUCACUGUCACCCACACAUGUACACACACACACACACACACACACACACACACACACACACACACACAUACACACGGUAUUUGUUUUUAAAGCACUUUACCCCAAUCAGCAAGGUGUGUGUAUUGUGUGUUUGUGGAUGUGCAUAUGUAUAGAUGCAUGUAUGUGUGCAGUGCACAUGUGUGUAGGGAUGGGUGCAUGUAUACAUUGAGUGUGUGUGUGUGUGUGUGUGUGUGUGUGUGUGUGUGUGUGUGUGUGUGUUUGGUGUGUUUGUGUGUAUGUCUAGCAUCCCCAACUCCAGGAGGUAUAUAGAGGGAAAAAUGGAAAGGAAGAUAUCUUUUACCCUAGAAAUUCACUGCUUAGCACAAAACUCUUAAAUAGUUAAAAACAACAAUUUUCUUAAUUAAAAAAAGAGAAAGAAAAGGAAAGUGGUAGGCAACGGGCCAGACACCCAAGGCUCACACAGAGAUGCAGGCUGUCGUUUCUCUGUGCUUUUCAAUCAGUCUGCAUUCCUUUUCUUCACUCCAGACGCCUUAGCAGAAAGCGCCCUUCUCUGGCCGUCUGGCGACUGUCCAGCAGAUGGUGCUGUGACUUCUAGAGACAUGAGGGAAGGAUGGGGGUGGGAAAGGCAGGACAGUGAGGUCUGCUGCAAGCCUGUCCCUGCCUCUCUUCUAGCGAGCGAGCGAGCAAGCGAGCGCUCUGCAGAAAGAUGAGAUACUUCUGUGAGGCCUCUGCAAGGUGCCAGCUCUCAAAGAGUAUUUAAAGUAGUUAAGCCAGAUGUCUGUCACCAAAUGUCUGAUCCCUAGGAAAGGGCCUGGGAGAGAUGCUUCCAGCAAGGGGCGGAUAGAGGUGUGAGAAGCUUAGGGGCCACUUUAUUUCACAAGGUGACUGACCAUGUAGAAGAGGAUGACACCUUUGCUCUUCUUCCUCUAUCAUCAUGGAGACCGGCUAUCAGUGGAAUUGUGAUGAAGGUGAAUUGACAGGUGUCAAUCAUGAUGGGGACCCAGUCUCUCUGGAUGGUGGAGAGCGGCUGAGCCUUAGCCGCUGUGUGUCUGAGCACCUGGCUGCCAGCUUUCUCUUCUGUCACUGUCUCCCGGUUGGGAAGAGGUUUCACUUUAUUCCUCAAAUGAACAUUUUUUUUUCUACCCUUCUCCCUAAGAAUCGUGGUCACGCUGUUCAAUGCAUGAAUGUUUAAAUUAAAACAAUUUUAAGACAUUUGCAGAUGACCCUGACGGACAUGUGACUCAUUAAUUUCUUUUAGCCAACUGUUAGCCGUAUCAUUUUUAAUUUAAAAGGCAGUCUGCAUGUCGGCAAAAUAUCUCAAACAAUCUGGAAUUCAACAAAAGCAGCACAAAGAUUUAUUUCCUUUUCUAAGAAUGGUGCUAUUUCUUCUUGGGGAUGAGUGUGAGGGGGUUGCCUAUGAUUCCACACUUGAAGUACUAGUUAAAGACAGAACUGUGGGGGAGAAACGUGACUUCAUCUGGUCUGGUAGUAAUUAAUCUUAUAUCGUUUUUUAAAUUUUUAAUUGAAUGACACACUGGCUUUUAUGCUUGUAUGUAUUUACAAAUUGUACAAGUUAGUUACCCACCGUUCACAGCAAGGGCCUGUGUAUUAAUAAAAUGAUUGUGGAAAAAAAAACCCCAGCUGUUUAAAUAAAUUCUGUUCUGGUUUAAAGAUUCUGCCCUUUGGGAAAAAGUCAUUCAGAACUGAGCGGCAGACACCAGUGAACAGUUACCAUGUAAAUAAAUCUUCCUGUAACUUAGUGCUAUUUUUCUUGUGCAAGAUACUAACACAUUAAAAAAUAAACUUUGUGUGUUGGGC